GUCCACGCCCUAAACGAUGCGAACUGGACGUUGGGUGCAAUUGAGCAUUCAGUGUCGAAGCUAACGCGUUAAGUUCGCCGCCUGGGGAGUACGGUCGCAAGACUGAAACUCAAAGGAAUUGACGGGGGCCCCGCACAAGCGGUGGAGUAUGUGGUUUAAUUCGAUGCAACGCGAAGAACCUUACCUGGUCUUGACAUCCACGGAACUGCCCAGAGAUGGGCGGGUGCCUUCGGGAACCGUGAGACAGGUGCUGCAUGGCUGUCGU
rnacentral:rRNA from 1 species